GGCCGGGGACGCCAGGAGCUCCACGCUCGCCGGGUGCUCCUCGCUCACCCGGCUGCACGCAGUUGUGGGUUCAGCAAUGAAUGACGGGCUGUCCGGGAGGACCCUCCAGUCCCUGAGGCACAAAACAGCAAAUCUUAGUAAUGCAUGUUUUGGGGGGCUACCUGUGGCCCUGGCAGUCCCCUCGGUCCUUCUGGUCCACGGAGGCCCUUGUCACCAAAGAUACCCUGUG
rnacentral:lncRNA from 1 species